GGAGAGGUGGCUGAGUGGUCGAAGGCACCUGACUCGAAAUCAGGCGUGCUCGAAAGGGUACCGUGGGUUCAAAUCCCACCCUCUCCG
rnacentral:tRNA from 1 species